GAUGAAGAACGCAGCGAAAUGCGAUAAGUAAUGUGAAUUGCAGAAUUCAGUGAAUCAUCGAAUCUUUGAACGCACAUUGCGCCCGCCAGUAUUCUGGCGGGCAUGCCUGUUCGAGCGUCAUUUCAACCAUCAAGCCCCCGGCUUGUGUUGGGGACCUGCGGCUGCCGCAGGCCCUGAAAAGCAGUGGCGGGCUCGCUGUCACACCGAGCGUAGUAGCAUACAUCUCGCUAUGGGCGUGCUGCGGGUUCCGGCCGUUAAACCACCUUCAUAACCCAAGGUUGACCUCGGAUCAGGUAGGAAGACCCGCUGAACUUAAGCAUAUCAAUAAGCGGAGGA
rnacentral:misc_RNA from 1 species